rnacentral:rRNA from 1 species
AUUGAACGCUGGCGGAAUGCUUUACACAUGCAAGUCGUACGAUGAACCUUAGCUUGCUAAGGGGAUUAGUGGCGAACGGGUGAGUAAUGUAUCGGAACGUAUCCAAUAAUGGGGGAUAACUAGUCGAAAGAUUAGCUAAUACCGCAUACGUCCUACGGGAGAAAGCUAGGGACCUUCGGGCCUGGCGUUAAUGGACCGGCCGAUAUCUGCUUAGCUAGUUGGUUGGGUAAAGGCUCACCAAUGCGACGAUCAGUAGCUGGUCUGAGAGGACGACACGCCACACUGGAACUGAGACACGGUCCAGACUCAUACGGGAGGCAGCAGUGGGGAAUUUUGUACAAUGGGCGAAAGCCUGAUCCAGCCAUUCCGCGUGAGUGAAGAAGGCCUUCGGGUUGUAAAGCUCUUUCGCAAGAGAAGAAAACUUAAGCUCUAACAUAGCUUGAGGUUGACGGUACCUUGAUAAGAAGCACCGGCUAACUACGUGCCAGCCGCCGCGGUAA